GUUACAUCAUUAUUAGAACAAAAAAUGACUGGCUGGCUGAUGAACUCACAAGUGUUGGUACUGUGCUGCAUGAGGGGCAGGUCUUUCGCUAACACCACAAGGGUCUCUGGCCCAGAAAGUGGAGUUCAAUAGUAAUUCUUGCUGCAAGU
ensembl:snoRNA SNORA62 Small nucleolar RNA SNORA62/SNORA6 family